CUUCAGCUUGCGUCUCAGAAUCUGUUACUAGAAGCUCACACUGUGAUGGUAAUGCUCCUUCAAGAUAAAUCGGCUUCGGGGGUAUCUUGUCCUGUUCCGAGUGGCUUAAAACGAGAGUAAUAAGACACAAGAGAUAAGCCAAUCAGCUGAUAUAAUGGAGGAAGUGGGCGUUCAUUUUUUCGAGGCGGGUGUCUUCAGACCACUAUAACUUUAAUUCUACUGAAUAUUUUUAGCUAAAAAUUUAACUGUAUACUCUUGAAAUAUGUAUAAAUAAAUGAUAAAAAGUUCAAAGUUCUAUCUCUUCAUUG